GAUGAACGCUGACAGAAUGCUUAACACAUGCAAGUCUUUGGCGAAGCUGUGCUUGCACCGCCUAGCCAAGGCGGACGGGUGAGUAACGCGUAAGGAACUUGCCCUGCAGUCAGGGAUAACAGACGGAAACGACUGAUAAGACCUGGUAAAGUCAGUCGGACUCAUGUCCAGCCUGAUGAAAAGAGAUGCUGCAGGAGAGCCUUGCGUCCUAUUAGCUUGUUGGUGGGGUAACGGCCCACCAAGGCGAUGAUAGGUAGCCGGCCUGAGAGGGUGGACGGCCACAAGGGGAAAGGGAUGCGGCACUUACUCCUACGGGAGGCAGCAGUGAGGAAUAAUGGAGAAGGGGGGCAACACUGAUCCAGCAAUUCUGUGUGCAAGAUGAAGGUUUUCGGAUUGUAAAGUGCUUUCAGCAGGGAAGAAAAAAAUGACGGUACCUGAAGAAGAAGCGACGGCUAAAUACGUG
rnacentral:rRNA from 1 species